rnacentral:rRNA from 1 species
UACGAAGGGGGCAAGCGUUGUUCGGAAUUACUGGGCGUAAAGGGCGUGUAGGCGGGCGUGCAAGUCAGGCGUGAAAUCCCUGGGCUCAACCCAGGAAUUGCACUUGAAACUGCACGUCUUGAGUAUCGGAGAGGAAAGUGGAAUUCCUGGUGUAGAGGUGAAAUUCGUAGAUAUCUGGAGGAACACCGGUGGCGAAGGCGGCAUCCUGGACCGGUAUUGACGCUGAUGCGCGAAAGCCAGGGGAGCAAACGGG